rnacentral:rRNA from 1 species
GCAUAUCAAUAAGCGGAGGAAAAGAAACUAACAAGGAUUCCCCUAGUAACGGCGAGUGAAGAGGGAAGAGCUCAAAUUUUAAAUCCGCCUUGUUCGCAAGGCCGAGUUGUAAUUUGAAGAAGCGUUUUCUUGGGCUCGCUGCCGGUAGAAGUUCUUUGGAACAGGGCAUCAUAGAGGGUGACAAUCCCGUCUGUGACCGGUCGCGCGGUUCAUCUACGAUACGCUUUCAAAGAGUCGAGUUGUUUGGGAUUGCAGCUCCAAACGGGUGGUAAACAUCACCUAAGGCUAGAUAUUGGCGAGAGACCGAUAGCGAACAAGUACCGUGAGGGAAAGAUGGAAAGAACUUUGAAAAGAGAGUUAAACAGUACGUGAAAUUGUUGAAAGGGAAACGAUUGAAGCCAGUCGUACCGGCGGGUAAUCAGCCUUUCGGGUAUGAUUCUGUGGAGUGUGAGGAGCUAAACACCUUCAUGCCUGCAUAUUCGUGCUCUUGGGUGUACUUGCUCGUGUGGUAGGUUAACAUCAAUUUCGGAUGUCAUAAAAUGGCUGGAGGAAUGUAGCUUCGAUCUCGUAUUGAAGUGUUAUAGCCUUCGGUAGAUGUGGUGAUCGGGAUUGAGGAUUGCAACGGAUACCCUUCGGGGCUACCUGUCUGAUCUCUGAUUGUUGCUCUGGUGCCGAAAGCGUGCUUACGGUUAUCAAAGUCGAUGGUCAAUAGGUUAGAACGGGUUAAAUUCGUUAAGGAUGUUGACGUA